rnacentral:rRNA from 1 species
CCUACGGGUGGCAGCAGUGAGGAAUAUUGGUCAAUGUGCGCGAGCCUGAACCAGCCAAGUAGCGUGAGGGAUGACUGCCCUACGGGUUGUAAACUUCUUUUGUAGAGGAGUAAAGUGAGUCACGUGUGCCUUAUUGUGUGUACUUGAUGAAUAAGGAUCGGCUAACUCCGUGCCAGCAGCCGCGGUACUACGGAGGAUACGAGCGUUAUCCGGAUUUAUUGGGUUUAAAGGGAGCGUAGAUGGGUUGUUAAGUCAGUUGUGAAAGUUUGCGGCUCAACCGUAAAACUGCAAUUGAUACUGGCAGUCUUGAGUACAGUUGAGGUAGGCGGAAUUCGUGGUGUAGCGGUGAAAUGCUUAGAUAUCACGAAGAACUCCGAUUGCGAAGGCAGCUUACUAACCUGCAACUGACAUUGAUGCUCGAAAGUGUGGGUAUCAAACAGGAUUAGAUACCCGGGUAGUC